GAUCAUGGCUCAGGAUGAACGCUAGCUACAGGCUUAACACAUGCAAGUCGAGGGGCAGCAUUUUAGUUUGCUUGCAAACUAAAGAUGGCGACCGGCGCACGGGUGAGUAACACGUAUCCAACCUGCCGAUAACUCGGGGAUAGCCUUUCGAAAGAAAGAUUAAUAUCCGAUAGUAUAUUUUCUCCGCGUGGUGAGAAUAUUAAAGAAUUUCGGUUAUCGAUGGGGAUGCGUUCCAUUAGUUUGUUGGCGGGG
rnacentral:rRNA from 1 species